CAAACGCACAGCUUUCUUUCAACUGCACGGGCAGGCCCCGACACUCAAGAGGAAAUCGGAUCUGGGGUUUUGAAAAACCACGACAGGAAACAUUAGUGCUGAUGAAGGUCGGGGCUCAGCUCCUCGUUAAAUACAGCCAGUCCUGAGAGAACCCUGAAUUACAGAACAGUAAUCAAGGAGCAACUAAAAUGUCCCGGGCUGUCCUGCUGAACCUGCUACUUUUAUUUCCAGCUCCUGCUCUCGGCAAGGUCUGGAUCAACCAGUCUCCCGGCAGGACCUGCCAUCGCGCCGGGGGCUCGGUGACCUUCCACUGCAGCAUCCUGUCCGACGGCGAGAAGCUGGAGGACUGCGCGCCCUACUGGUACGUCCCGGGGCCGGCGGGAUCGGCGGGGCCCGCGGAGCUCCAGGACGUGACCGGCGCGGAGCAGUUCCGAACCCGGAUCAGCGUGCAGGAGGACAUGGCCACCUACUCCUUCCUGACCCUCGCCGGGCUGCAGGAGCAGGACAACAACACCUUCUACUGCUCCCUCAAGUGCAGGAUCAACGGCAAAUUCGAAUCGCGGACAGGACCGGGCAGCGUGCUGGGAGUGACCGGAGCACCCACUCAGGAAUGCCACGGCGAGCAGGGAGAGCCCUUCCCGGGAGAGCUGAGGGUGGAGCAGUGGGCGUCACCGCGGCCCCACUGCGCCGGCGGCUCGGUCAUGCUGCACUGCCAGAUCUCGUCCCGCCGCCGCCGGCUGGAGGAGUGCCGCGCCUCCUGGCUCGGCCCCGACCCGGACACGGCGCCGGCGGCGAACGGGACGGGGGCGGGGGGGACCUACAGCUGGCUGCUCCUCACCCGCCUCCGGGCCAACGGCAGCGGCGGCUUCCUGUGCAGCGUGAGCUGCAGGGUCGAAGGGCGGCGCUGGACCGUGACCGGGCCCGGCAGCCUCCUCAACGUCACGCCCUGCGGCAGCUGGCAGCAAGGUUGCGGCCCCCCCGUGCUGUGGCGCGUGUACUCGCUCUUCGCCGUGAACGGGCUGGUGCUGUGCGCGGCCGCCGCCAUGUGCGCCGCCCUGCUGCGGAGGAGGCUGGGCAGCCGGCGCCGCUGGGAGGUGAUGUAAGCCCCGCCCCGCCCCGCCCGGAGAUGAAGGCGGGUGGGCGUGGACGAGAGGAGCCCCGCCCCCCGUGGCGUCAUGGGAACUUCCGGCCGAGGCGCAGGCUGACUGACCGCUCGCGGGUGAAUGUCUGGCCGCACUGAUGCACUACAGUCCUGUGCCGUCUGGACGUGUCUACAUGCUACGGACUGCACCCCGCUGAUUCAGCCCGCCAUUAACCCUUCCCCUCCCGCUCACCGACACCAGUAUCCGGUUACUUCGUUGGCCGUCCUGCUUCCCCCGGCCUCAUCAUUUGCAACCUUUAUCUUAAUUUUUUGAAUGAAGUUUUUUUUGUAAUAAGGUGCCUCGCGUGUUGUUUCGUUUGUCUCACAUCUGCCUUCGUACUCAUAUCGGUGUCGGCGACGAUCCGCGCCUACAGGCCUCUUUCCAGCAGCCAGCAGCCUUUCCUAUGGCCAGCAGCCAUAUCACCCUGCAAC
ensembl:lincRNA